rnacentral:rRNA from 1 species
GAUGAACGCUGGCGGCGUGCUUAACACAUGCAAGUCGAACGAAACACCUUAUUUGAUUUUCUUCGGAACUGAAGAUUUGGUGAUUGAGUGGCGGACGGGUGAGUAACGCGUGGGUAACCUACCUUGUACAGGGGGAUAACAGUCAGAAAUGACUGCUAAUACCGCAUAAGACCACGGCACCGCAUGGUGCAGGGGUAAAAACUCCGGUGGUACAAGAUGGACCCGCGUCUGAUUAGCUGGUUGGUGAGGUAACGGCUCACCAAGGCGACGAUCAGUAGCCGGCUUGAGAGAGUGAACGGCCACAUUGGGACUGAGACACGGCCCAAACUCCUACGGGAGGCAGCAGUGGGGAAUAUUGCACAAUGGGGGAAACCCUGAUGCAGCGACGCCGCGUGAGUGAAGAAGUAUCUCGGUAUGUAAAGCUCUAUCAGCAGGGAAGAAAAUGACGGUACCUGACUAAGAAG